UACGUAGGGUGCAAGCGUUGUCCGGAAUUAUUGGGCGUAAAGAGCUCGUAGGCGGUUUGUCGCGUCUGCUGUGAAAACCCGAGGCUCAACCUCGGGCCUGCAGUGGGUACGGGCAGACUAGAGUGUGGUAGGGGAGACUGGAAUUCCUGGUGUAGCGGUGAAAUGCGCAGAUAUUGGGAGGAACACCAGCGGCGAAGGCGGCACUCUGGGCUGGUACUGACGCUGAGGAGCGAAAGCGUGGGUAGCGAACAGG
rnacentral:rRNA from 1 species